ACGCCCUAUCCCCAAUGGCGAUUAAGAGAUGAAGCACAACUUUUAAAAGUUACUCGGCAAGAAGCAUUGUUCACAGCAGUGAAGAAAAGUGUAAACGUAGCCGUCUGCUCUUUUUUUUUUUUGCAUGCACUUUGAUCCUUUGUUUACACGCAUGCCACCUGCCUAUACAUAGCUUGUGUCUGAUUCACUACAACUGCAGCUUCUAUCGCAACGCACGGGAACUAGUGAGGCAAAGUACUCUAGCAGGUGUCUUUUGUGACGGAUGAGUGUAUAUGUGACACGGCGGUUGCUGCUAUGCCCCCCCCCCCCGUCGUGCUGCAGCAGCAGAAUGGUGCAUCUGAUGAAGAGGAGGGGUUGUGUGUGGCGUACCCUGGCCAGCUCCGACGAGCCAGGCAUGGUUUGCUGGCGAUGAACAGGUGUGGUCAUCUCUUCCUGCUCGUCUUCAGAGUUUGGCGGCGUGAGGUCACUAGCUGGUGGCGGAGGAGGAGGCAUCCCGGACGCCUCCUUGCUUCGACCGCUCAUGGAGAGCAGUGUCUCCACUGCGAAAUAGUCAGGCGCGUGCCA
rnacentral:lncRNA from 1 species